UUUUUUCCUUUAGGCUGGGAAUCAAGCCCCUCCUACGCAUAGCCGCAGUGGUCGGCUAAUAGAGAGUUAUCCGUACACCACUUACCCCCUCAUCGGCUAUGACGCUCCAUCGGUCGAUAUGAUUACUGGCCGAUCGAAGAGAGUUCAGAAGAAAGUCGUCAAGAAGACCAGUCGCCGAGUUCGGGCUCGUACAGAAUCGGUAGACCCUCCUGUACCC
rnacentral:lncRNA from 1 species